GAUGAACGCUGGCGGCGUGCCUAAUACAUGCAAGUCGAGCGAACAGAUGAGGAGCUUGCUCCUCUGACGUUAGCGGCGGACGGGUGUGUAACACGUGGAUAACCUCCCUAUCAGUCUGGGAUCAUUUCGGGAAACCGGAUCUAAUCCCGGAUAAUAUAUUGAACCGCAUGGUUCAAUAGUGAAAUACGGCUUUGCUGUCACUUAUAGCUGGAUCCGCGCCGCAUUAGCUAGUUGGUAAGGUAACGGCUUACCAAGGCAAGGAUGCGUAGCCGACCUGAGAGGGUGAUCGGCCACACUGGAACUGAGACACGGUCCAGACUCCUACGGGAGGCAGCAGUAGGGAAUCUGGCGCAAUGGGCGAAAGCCUGACGGAGCAACGCCGCGUGAGUGAUGAAGGUCUUCGGAUCGGAAAACUCUGUUAUUAGGGAAGAACAAAUGUGUAAGUAACUAUGCACGUCUUGACGGUACCUAAUCAGAAAGCCACGGCUAACUACGUG
rnacentral:rRNA from 1 species